CGAAAACGGUUGCAGAAAAGAUACCAAUGUAGAUGAACGGGAUGGCUGUUGAACAAGUUAAUAGAUUGGAAUCGCUAAAAUAUUUUUAAUUAAAUAAUUAGAUAUGCAUCGAAACUAUGAAGAAUGGUGAUACCUUGAUAUUUAAAUGGCUUACUAAACUCAAUAAAUUCUGCUCUCUCCGGAUUUAUUGUUAAUGGAGCCACAAUCAUAUCUGCGCGUUCGUAAACCAAUUCCCCUGAAAACGCUCCUGGCAUUGAGAAAUUCCUUAUUACGUAAUUUCCAAACUGUCCAUCCGGAGAUAGAGCUA